UACGUAGGGUGCAAGCGUUGUCCGGAAUCAUUGGGCGUAAAGAGCGCGUAGGCGGCCCUGUAAGUCCGCUGUGAAAGUCAAGGGCUCAACCCUUGAAUGCCGGUGGAUACUGCAGGGCUAGAGUCCGGAAGAGGCGAGUGGAAUCCUGGUGUAGCGGUGAAAUGCGCAGAUAUCAGGAGGAACACCGAUGGCGAAGGCAGCUCGCUGGGACGGUACUGACGCUGAGGCGCGAAAGCGUGGGGAGCGAACAGG
rnacentral:rRNA from 1 species